GACGAACGCUGGCGGCGUGCUUAACACAUGCAAGUCGAACGGUGACCUCGAGAGCUUGCUCUUGGGUGAUCAGUGGCGAACGGGUGAGUAACACGUGAGUAACCUGCCCCAGACUCUGGAAUAACCCCGGGAAACCGGAGCUAAUACCGGAUACGAGACGGAGCCGCAUGGCUACCGUUUGGAAAGUUUUUCGGUCUGGGAUGGACUCGCGGCCUAUCAGCUAGUUGGUGAGGUAACGGCUCACCAAGGCGACGACGGGUAGCCGGCCUGAGAGGGCGACCGGCCACACUGGGACUGAGACACGGCCCAGACUCCUACGGGAGGCAGCAGUGGGGAAUAUUGCACAAUGGGCGAAAGCCUGAUGCAGCGACGCCGCGUGAGGGAUGACGGCCUUCGGGUUGUAAACCUCUUUCAGCAGGGAAGAAGCGAAAGUGACGGUACCUGCAGAAGAAGCACCGGCUAACUACGUGC
rnacentral:rRNA from 1 species